rnacentral:rRNA from 1 species
AUUGACCGCUGGCGGCAGGCCUAACACAUGCAAGUCGAGCGGAGCGGCGGACGGGUGAGUAAUGCCUAGGUCCCUGCCUGGUAGUGGGGGAUAACGUCCGGAAACGGGCGCUAAUACCGCAUACUAUCAGAUAAGCCUCGGUCGGCUUAGCUAGUUGGUGGGGUAAAGGCCUACCACGGCGACGAACCGGAACUGGUCUGAGCGGAUGAGCAGUCACACUGGAACUGAGACACGGUCCAGACUCCUACGGGAGGCAGCAGUGGGGAAUAUGGGACAAUGGGCGAAAGCCUGAUCCAGCCAUGCCGCGUGUGUGAAGAAGGUCUUCGGAUUGUAAAGCACUUGAAGUUGGGAGGCGUUACCAACAGAAUAAGCACCGGCUAACUUCGUGCCAGCAGCCGCGGUAAUUC